AUCUCCUGGACUGACCCAUGUUGCUGGUGCCCAGUCCCCCUGACCUCAGGAGAGCCAGACCCACCCUCAGCAGAAGACCCCUCUGGUGGCCCCUCCCCAACCGCUCCACUCAGGAGUCUCAGGUGACCCCACUGCAGAUGUGCUUCAGCACAGAGGGUAUCACAUGUGGCCACCACCAAGAUCACUUCUGCGAUAGCAGGAGUGGAGAUGACUGUCCUGGGGCUUGCCCCACGCCAUCUGCAGAGCAGGCCAGAGGUCUCAGGAGAGAGGACCCUGGAGGAGUGCCAGCCCCAGACCCAGUAGGUGGUCCUCGUGGUCUUAGCCCCACGUUCCUGAGAGGUAAGGGCCCUCCCCCAGCAGAAAGCCCACAGGCCUCACCCUGGCUGCUUCCCGUUGUGUGCCAGUAUCCAGAAGACGUCACCUGCGCCCUGGGCUCACACACUCAUCACCGCAGCAGAGAGAGCCAGAGCCAGCAGGCCUGGCCAGUGUAUCAUGCCAAGUCCCAGACAAUAAACGCUCCAGGAGGAACAUGUCCUAUGCCGUUGUGCUGUUGGUCCCAGGGCUUGCUUCCAUCUCAGAAGGGCUGCUGCACCCUGGAGAGACGAGAGGUGGGGAGUGGAGCAACACACGUGGCACCUGGGUGCCCGAUGACAGAGACCCCUGAGAUACCAUGGCCUCCGUGGUUGCACUCCUGGAUUCCGAGCUGUGACAUUUCCUGUUGUUUCUCCUUCCCUGGUGGACAAGGGGCUUCCUGCCGCUGUUAGUCUCUGCAUGGCCUUUCCUUCCUGCCUUCAAUACCCAGGAAAUGAAAUCCUUCUCUUUUUGACAUAGUAACUCAAUUUUGGGGCCUGGACUUCCAGGCACCCCAGCACCCUCAUCCUUCCAGGCCCAGCGGCAGGUUGGAGGCAGCAGCAGCCAUCUUGGGCCUUUGUGUUCCCCCUAUUGGGGGCCCUGUGGAAUACAGUGAGGUAGCAAGAGGGGGCGCCCCUCCUUCCAAACCCCAAGUGGGCUGCUGGCUGUGGCUUCCUUCUCCAGCCGAGUCUGGGGCCUGGAGCCGCCAGAAACCGCAGACUCUCCGCGGGGGUCAGGGGACACCCAGGUGAGACUCCGCUGUCCAGCUUGCCUUGGCUCCACCUCUCAGCCUCCGUGCUAAGGACCCUCGCUGCUAAAACUGAGCGAUACUGGAAGGCGUCGCAAGGCUGUCGCGAGGAAUGACAAAUUCACAAGGCACCUAGCAAACUGCUGUUGUUUCUUUCAGGUCUAUUUUACCCAAAGUUUGGGGGUUAAAGCAGAUGUUUAGCUGGCAUGAUAACGGACAGUACUUUAUGAUGAAAGCCAACACGGACGUGUAACUCAGAAAUCGCUGCACUGUCAUGGACUUUCAAGAUACGUUUUAUCUUGGUCUUUUUAGACCACGGAAAAGCUAGGCCCUCGGGCUACCCUCGGGCUCCUCCACCAGAUGGGACCCCACCGGAAUCCCAGGACCCUGGCCGCUCCGCCCCUUAUCUUCCCGCACACCAGGAUCGAGCCCGCUGCCCCGGGCACGUCGCAGCACUCUGCUCCGGCGCGUCGCGUGCCUGCGGCCGGGUUGCCAAGCUCCGCCCGCUACCAGCAGCACCUUUGGCUGGCGGGCUCACGCAUAUACAAAAUCUAAGCACUAGCAAGUACUAAGCAGGCCCGACCCUGCUUAGCAUCCGAAAUCAGAAGACAUCGGGCGCGUUCAAGGUGGUAUUGAG
ensembl:lncRNA